rnacentral:antisense_RNA from 1 species
UUUUACGGUGGGUCGUGUGGGGACACCCGCGAGGGUGUGCCGGUGCCUGUUGCCGGUCCGCCAACCCUGCACGGCCCAUCACCUUG